rnacentral:rRNA from 1 species
UCAAGAUAAGAUUUCCCACCGCAAGGGUAAGACCCCAGAAAGACUAUCUGGUUGAUAGGUCGAAGGUGUAAGUGCAGCAAUGUAUUUAGCUUAUCGAUACUAAUAGGUCGAGGACUUGACUAAUAUUUAUU